UGGCAGCCAAGCAGGACGACUAUUCGUAUGAUGCCCUUGCUCACAUCGACCAGAAUUUUGCAAGAAAAAGGGGGAGGCCGUCAUUGUCACCUGUCCCUUCUCCUUUGGAAAGCCGAAAUCCUCGUGUCGCUGCACACUGUGAUGAUGUCAGAUUUGACGCAGUCGGGCACUAGCCUGAACACGACGGUGGCCGAGAACAACGGCGCAAGGAAUUUGCUUGUGUUGGACGAUCCCGGUUCAAGUGCUCGAAGUGCAAAGUGCACCUGUGCUUGAGCAAGACUAAGAACUGUUUUGUCAAGUACCACAGGAAGUAACCUGGAUUUGAUCCAAAAUUUAUCCACCAACACCUGAUGGUUGCAGUUGACACCAGCAAAAUAAAACACGUACUGCUCA